GGCAGCAUGAACACAGGAAGGGGAGCGGGGGCUGUUGGCGCUCAGUGGCCGGCAGACAUGAGAGGCUCCAGAGUGAGUGCUCUCUCUCUCUCACCAGCUCCCGGAAUGGAGUUCUGUUAUCUCUGCCCCACAGAGCAGGAGACUGAGGCACAGAUGGAUUGUGUUCGAGGGAGUGAUAGGGAAAGGACGUUCCGGAGAGAUUGCCAUUGACGACAUUCGGAUAAGCACUGAUGUCCCACUGGAGAACUGCAUGGAACCCAUCUCAGCUUUUGCAGUGGACAUCCCAGAAAUACAUGAGAGAGAAGGAUAUGAAGAUGAAAUUGAUGAUGAAUACGAGGUGGACUGGAGCAAUUCUUCUUCUGCAACCUCAGGGUCUGGCGCCCCCUCGACCGACAAAGAAAAGAGCUGGCUGUACACCCUGGAUCCCAUCCUCAUCACCAUCAUCGCCAUGAGCUCACUGGGCGUCCUCCUGGGGGCCACCUGUGCAGGCCUCCUGCUCUACUGCACCUGUUCCUACUCGGGCCUGAGCUCCCGAAGCUGCACCACACUGGAGAACUACAACUUCGAGCUCUAUGAUGGCCUUAAGCACAAGGUCAAGAUGAACCACCAGAAGUGCUGCUCCGAGGCAUGACAGAUUGCACCUGAAUCCUAUCUGACGUUUCAUUCCAGCAAGAGGGGCUGGGGAAGAUUACAU
rnacentral:sRNA from 1 species